rnacentral:rRNA from 1 species
UAUGUGAUCGUCUCUCGCAUAUCAAUAAGCGGAGGAAAAGAAACUAACAAGGAUUCCCCUAGUAACGGCGAGUGAAGCGGGAAGAACUCAAAUUUGAAAUCUUAAAGGGUUUCCCUUUACGAAUUGUAGUUUAAAGAAGUGUUUUCUGUUGAGGUUUUGGUAAAAGUUCUUUGGAAUAGGACAUCAUAGGAGGGUGAGAAUCCCGUAUUUGACCUUUACUUUCAACUUUGUGAUACACUUUCAAAGAGUCGGAUUGUUUGGGAAUGCAGUCCAAAAUGGGUGGUAAAUUUCAUCUAAAGCUAAAUAUUGGCGAGAGACCGAUAGCGAACAAGUACCGUGAGGGAAAGAUGAAAAGAACUUUGAAAAGAGAGUUAAACAGUACGUGAAAUUGUCAAAAGGGAAGCGUUUGACACCAGUGUUGUUUUUCUGAAAAUCAAUUAAAGAACUGUUUAUGCUAAGUUGUUUAGACUUUAUCAGCUAACUGUUUAGUUUUGAGCUUUUCUUUAAUGCACUUUUCAGUUAACAAGUCAACAUCAGUUUCUUUUGCUGUAAAAAAGCUUGAGGAAGGUGGCUUGAGAUUCGUCUUAAGUGUUUAUAGCCUCUUGCCUAUGCAGUCGGAGAGAUUGAGGUCUGCAGCGUAGAUCCUUCGGGGCUAAAUGCAUUUGUGCUAAGUUAUAGCAUUUUAUAGACAACUUGUUGACUAUGAUUUGUCUUGUAGCUUACUCGCUUAUGUUAUUUUACCUACGCUUAGGAUGUUGAUCUACAGAGCGAGAGU